rnacentral:lncRNA from 1 species
GUGAUCCAUUCGUACUUGUACAUAGAUGUCAUUUUUUUCACAUUGUCUUUCAUCUAGUUCCAAAAAAAGAAGUCCAGAUAGUUUCCUGUGUUGUAGAGCAGGAUCCCAUUGCUAACCCUCUCCAAGUAUUAGAGUUUGCAUCCAUUAACCCCCUAAACCCAUGCCAACAUACAUCCACCACCACCCCCAAUCUGGCAACCACAAUCUCUUUACCAGUCCAAGAUUUUCUUUUUGGGAGACAGGUUCAUUCGUGCCUUUUGAUAGAUUCCAGAACCAAGGGAAAGCUAUGGUAUUGUCUUUCAUUUUCUGACUUACUUCACACAGGAUGAGUGUUUCUGGAGACAUCUAUGUUGCUGAGAUUGUCAUUUUUUGGGUUUUUUGUAUGGAUGCAUCGUAGUAUUCCACUGAAUCUUUGAACAACAUCUUCUUAAUCUGUUCAUCUGUCGAUGGACAUUGAGUUUGUUUCCUUGUCUUGGCUAUUGUGAAUAUUGCUACAAGGGACAGAGCGGGGCAAGUAUCUUUUGAAAAGAAUAUGUGUCCAGAUAUAGUCACAAGGGUGGGGUUGCUGGGGCAUGCAUCCUUUCUAGUGGAUUUUUAGGAUUUGCAUGGAUCCUGUUGUCCAUUGUUUUGGUACCAAUUUGCAUAGCCACUCCCACUGUAGGCGGGCACCCUCUUCUCCACACCCUCUCCAGGAUUUGCUAUUUCCUGACUUAUUAAUCAUGACCAUUCGGACAGGUGUGAGGUGGUACCUCAGGGUCGUUGUGAUUUGCAUUCCUCUCAGAUUGAGAGAUGGAGAUCAUUUUUUUCCAGUGCUUGUUACCCCUGUGUAUCUGGUUUAGGAAAAUGUCUAGUCAGGUCUGUUGCCCUUUUCUCAAUCAAGUGCUUGGGUUUAUUUAUUGAUGCAUUGAUUUUUUUUUUUCGGUGUUCGUUUGUGUCUGUUGUUGAGCUGGUAAUUAUGAAACCCCAUCCUUACCUGGGCUUUGGGAACCGGAUAAAGUGCCUGCAUGUUGUCCCUGGAAGGUGGUACAGAGGUGACAUUUUGCACAGGGAACUAUAUGUAGUCACGAUUUUUGGACCAAACGGAGGACAAUGUGGGAAAAACAACAUGGAUAGACACGUACGAUUGGAUCACCUUGUUCUUAAAGUGAAGUGCAGCACCAUAAACUAUCGAUAUUCGAAAAUGUUGAAUGACAACAUCCGACAAUACCAGCGGGUCCGUGUUCACCCAGGAAGAUGUCCAGGUGGAGACUGCUGCCGCUCGGGAAAGAGACAGGCACACGGACGCCGCUGAACCUGUCAAGGUUUCCUAGCAAAGCGACACUGGACCAGGCAUAAUUACCUAGCAGGUAUGAAUUAAUUUGUAUACUACAAUUAUAGUUUAUUUAUUUUUUGCUUCCCUAGUUAUUUUCCUGCAGACAUGUGUGGCAUGCAGAUACCUCUGCUCU